GAUGUUUUCUUUUGUUUCUGAUGAUUUUGUCUCUGUUAUAUAUGUUGUUUUUCUUUAAAAAAAAAAUUCUGAAAGGUUGGAUUGGUGAAACAAGGGCUUUGGUCAUGGCAAUGUGUUCAUGUUUUCAUUCAUUCAUUCCAUCUUGGCGCCCAAUUUCUAUAGUUGGAGUUAGAAGAAAUCAUAGCAUUUUAGCAAUUAGUGAGAGUUCUGUGAAGAAUGCUAGUGGUGUUGGAGAGGUUGAGUUAGCUUCAGCAAGGGCAAAGAUUGGGGACUCUCAUAUUGAGAAGAAGGGAUCAGUAGAGAUAGAUGCAGGAGACUUGGGUGUGCUUUAUGAAGAUGGAUUUGGAACUAUGAGUGUGGAGGACUAUUUCAGUGCUGCGAAGCAGAUCAUUAAGCCUGACGGAGGGCCGCCUCGUUGGUUCUGCCCUGUUGAGUGUGGAAAGCCGAUAAAAAAUGCUCCUUUGCUGUUGUUCUUGCCAGGGGCUGAUGGCACUGGAGUGGGACUCAUUUUACAUCACAAGUCUCUUGGAAAGGCUUUUGAAGUUAGAUGCAUGCACGUUCCAAUUAAUGAUCGCACGCCAUUUGAAGGACUGGUGAGCUUUGUUGAACACACGGUUAGAUUUGAGCAGGCUAUGUCUCCAAAUAAACCAAUUUAUCUUCUUGGAGAUUCACUUGGAGGUUGCUUAGCACUUGCUGUUGCAGCUCGCAAUCCUACAAUUGACCUCGUACUUAUCUUAGUCAAUCCAGCAACAUCAUUUGGCAAAUCUCAGGUGCAACCUUUGAUCCCUGUCUUGGAGGGCUUACCAAGCAAUCUUCAUAAUACUGUCCCUUAUCUUCUUAGCUUCGUCAUGGGAGAUCCUGUGAAGAUGGCAAUGACUAGUGUUCCAGAUGACCUUGCACCUCCAGAAUUACUCAAUGAAUUGUCAAAUAGUCUUACUUCUUUGCUCCCUUAUCUUUCAGAUUUGGCAGAUAUCAUACCAAGGGAAACUUUUCUAUGGAAACUCAAGCUUCUCAAGUCAGCUGCUGCUUAUGUUAAUUCUCGCCUUCAUGCUGUAGAGGCUGAUGUCUUGCUUCUUGCAAGUGGGAAGGACAACUUACUUCCGAGCGGAGAUGAAGCGGAGAGGUUGUGUUCUUCAUUGAAGAAAUGUAGAAUUCGUUACUUCAAGGACAAUGGUCACACCCUACUACUUGAAGAUGGGAUUAAUCUGCUGACUAUUAUCAAAGGUACCUACACAUACCGUCGUUCCAAGCGAUGUGACUUUGUUGAUGAUUAUCUUCCCCCGACUAUGCAUGAAUUCAAGAAAAUCUUUGAACAGGAGGACAGAUUGUUUCGUGUUGCAACAAGUCCGGUGACUCUUUCAACUCUCAAAGAUGGAAAAAUUGUGAGAGGCCUUGAUGGGGUUCCUGGAGAAGGUCCAGUCCUAUUUGUGGGUUAUCACAUGCUGAUGGGUCUUGAACUUGGCCAACUUUAUGAAGAAUUCUUGAGGGAGAGAAAAAUUGCUCUCCGUGGCAUGGCACAUCCGGCUUUGUUCUAUAACAUGCGACAGAAUUCACGGCCAGAGUUCUCACGCUUUGAUUACAUGAAUGUCUUUGGUGCAUUGCCUGUUUCUCCGGCUAAUAUUUAUCGGUUGUUGUCAAGGAAAGCUUUUGUUCUUCUCUAUCCUGGUGGUGCUCGUGAAGCUCUUCAUCGGAAGGGUGAAGAAUAUAAGCUGUUCUGGCCUGACCAGCCAGAGUUUGUGAGAAUGGCUGCUCGUUUUGAAGCCACAAUUGUACCAUUUGGUGUCGUCGGUGAAGAUGAUGUAGCAGAGUUAUUUAUUGACUAUGAUGAUCUGAUGAGCAAUCCCUUCACCAAAAAAUGGGUUGAGGAUUUUAACAAAGAUGCUAUCAGAUUAAGGAGUGAUGUUGGAGGGGAAUUAGCUCAGCAAGAAAUAUACAUUCCUGGACUCUUGCCAAAAGUACCUGGCCGAUUUUAUUACCUGUUCGGUCGACCAACUGAGACACGGGGGAUGAAGGAUGUUCUUAGUAACAGAGACAAGGCAAAUGCAUUGUAUUUGCAGAUCAAAUCUGAAGUUGAGAGGACAAUGUCGUAUUUAAGAAGAAAAAGAGAGGAGGAUCCCUACAGAAGUAUCAUACCGAGGAUUAUGUACGAAGGUUCUUGGGGAUUCAAGAAACAAGCCCCGACAUUCGAUUUCUAAACCACACAGUGAAAACACAAAACACACUCUUCUUCACAAGAUCAAUUCAAAAGGAAGCAUUGUACAUUCAAUUACAGAAAUGUAGUUUGCUACAGUAUUCGGUUCCGGUUCUCUUUUCAACGGUGGAAGCACCACGAACACACUGUUCUGUAUCAUCUAUAAGAAGAGGCAGAUCUUCAAAGUGAUUAGCAAGCAAAAUUAAGCCACCAAACUCAUGGCAAAUAGCAGGUUCAAGUUCCAAUCAUGGGGAAAUGGAUACAAUGAAAUUGGAAGCACUGAAGAACACCAUGUUCAUCAUGUUAGCAAGCCUACAAUUCUUGAAUGCCCUCCCUGCCACAACAAUGGAGGAUUCAAAGUUCAAGAGUCCAUCAGUGAAGUCCGAAGGCUGAGCACCCCCGGAAACAUACUGCAAAAACUCAAAGCCAGGCACAAGGACCAUAAUAACCAGUAUGGAAGAUGUGAGCCAUUAGUGGAAGUUCCAUCAGGGCCUACUCUGAUCACUGAAGGUGGAUGGGAGAGGCCAAGUCAAGCUGGUUGGAAGUUGCCUGCUAAUCAACCUCUCACAAGUGCAACCAAUGACAUAGGAACAACAGCGAAUUAUGUUCGGGAAUCGGCAUGGACUCCGACAACCGUUAUGGCGCAGCAGAACCCAUGGAACUCAGCUUCAUAUCCGACAUUUUAUGUGAAGAAAACUGAGUAUAUGAACAGCGCCAUUGAUCACAGAGAUGCUGCUAAGAAGUAUGGAGGGAAGUUCUUCUGAUGCAUGUAUCAUCAGUCUCACAGAUUCUGUCUUGGUAUCGUUAUCAGUUACUGUAAUCAAUAUUAAUGUUAAUGUUACCAACGACCAAACAGUCUAUUGGUAAUCGGGUCCCCAUUAAAACUCUUUACAA